UGAUAUUUAUAAUCGAUUACCAAAGAAGAGAAAUCAGAAUUGAAAUAAACAGUAACAAAAAAAACUCAUAAAACACGAUUAUGAGUUUAAAAGAUGAGCUCAACCAGAUUUUAAGAGUUCGGCUACAGUGAUGUUAAGUUCAACCAAUUGAUUUUAAGCUCGAUCAAGUUGAUGUUAAUCUCAAUAGAAAAGAGGUUGAACUUGACUGAACUACACUAAGUUCGAUCAAAUUUUAUAGAAGUAUAGACAAAAUGAUACGAGUUUGUUCGACCUCCAUAAAGUCUGAACAAGCUUAGUGGAAUCCAACCAAGUUCUGUCGAACUUAAUAUCAACCUAACCGAACUUAAAAUCACCCGACUGAGUUUAACACGUCUCGACUAAGUUUUUAAAAUUUAGUUGAGUUUGUGUUUUUUAGCCUGAAAUUGUGCUGUCUGAACUCUCUCUAUUAGUGUUUAUUUCAAUUCUAGUUUUGACACUUGACAUUAAUAUACUAUUGUUUUAUACUUAAAUUGGAAGUUGUCUUUCGCAAAAAUGAAUUUUAAUUCAAAUUAGGUUAAAGUAAUCGAUUAUAUAUGCAAUAAAUUAUAAAAAUUAUGAAAAACCUUCACAAACUAUCCUGAUUUAAGAUGAAUUUAGUGAAUGAUCUAAGAUUAACGAGAGGUGUAUAUCUACAUAAAAACUUAUAAUCUUUUUUUUCUUCGGUCCAUCCUGGAAUCCCCCGCCAAUGUCACCCUUCUAAUCCUUUUCCCCUUCCCCGCACAUCCGGAUUCUUCGAACUCCUCACCGAUGACAGAGUUUAGGUUUCCUAGGUCAUCCACUCAUGAACCACGAUUGUCCUCCUUGUCGUAGUGAAUGCAUCGCAAAGACGAUAACAGUGAUAGCGAGGAAUCGAAGCUAAUCGAGAAUGCAGAGAAGGAGGGCAUGUAUUGCAAUUUUUCGUCAAUGGGAUCAAAAUGGGUCGUCGGGACACGGCAACGCUGUUCUUUCUGGUGAGUUUCCUCUCUGUCGCUUAUGGAUUUGUGGGUGUUGUCUUCAUUUCGUUGUGAAUUAUUGUUGGAAAAGUUUAACUCUGUUAUUGGGAUGGUUCGAGCUUAGGUCUGAAGAUUCUUUCUUUAGUAUUAUUAGUAUAUAUUAUCUGCUUAAGAGAGUAUUAGUUCUACCUUGUAAUUUGGUGUUCGUUUUUUCGAGUGGGUUGUCGUUGGAGUUCAAUGUGGGAACGGUGAAUUGUCUGCAUUUUGGUUUGUGUUUUUUUUUGUGUUUCGAGUUUGCAUUUGGUGUGUCGUUGGUGUUUGGAUUUGGGAAGUGGGGGCAAUUGGUUUUCUGUUGUAGGAUUGAUGGUGCCCUUAACCUUUAUAACUUGUUACAACAUUUUGACUAUGUGUCUUUCUUUUGUGGAAUCUAUGGGAAAGGAAUGCACUGUUGUUCAUGCUUAUGUGUUUGAUUUCCCUUUGUAAUCAAAAUUGUUAAAUUUUUAAAGCACACACUUUAGAAGCUUAAUCAAUUAUAUAAGAAUUAGUUGCUUACAUGUGAUUGUAGGUGGAAUUGGUCGGUAAGUGGGUUGCAUUAUUGUGGCAUUGCUAUGGUACUGAUAUGAUAUUGUCAUAAAUUUUUGUUGUAUGGAGAAUCUCAGUUUUGCAGGUUCGGAAAUGGAUGAUGAAUCCACUACUCAUCUUGUUUAUCAUGCCUACAAUCUCAGAAAACUUCAUAUCUUGCAACCUUGUCUAGAUUAGCACUAAAGAUGGUCCAAUGUAAUUAGUCUUCCAUAGUGAUUUCUGCAGCGCUGAAUUAUCAAGUUUAGCAUUAGUAUGAUCCAUCUGAAGUGAUUAUUUUUAGUGGCUAUCUCCUGUAUUUUGGCAUACUUAGAAAAUGGUGCAUACCUAGAAUUCCAUGAGGAUCUCCAUUCCAAACAUUCUCCAGAUUUGGCUAUAUAUCCAUGAGGAUGGUUACGUAGAUUCUUAGAUUCCAAAGACUAUAGAACUGAAAUAAGAACAUCACGUAUGGGAAUCAUCAACCAAAGAUUAAAAGCAAUGGAAGCAGGGGAGUCUACGAACAAUGACUUGUUGGGCAUAUUGUUGGAAUCAAAUUACAGGGAAUUUUAAACAAGUAGUAGUGGAGGAAUGAGUUUAAGGGAAGUAGUUGAUGAAGUGAAGCUGUUUUACUUGGCAGGACAGAAAGCAAAUGCAGAGCUAUUGGUCUGAUGUUAAAAUUUUAUCUCUCUUAAGAAUUUUGUUUAGGUCAUCAACAUUUGCUUAUAUGUUUUUAACUGGUUUGGUAGUUUUCGAUCAUGCUAGAUCUUUUUAGAUUGUUUUGGUUAAUCUUCCAAUGUUAUUUAAUUUGCGGAGGAUAAAAACCUCCGCAAAAUGGAAAAUAAACCCCUACUAAAUAAUAGUGUUUUGUAGUAUGGUAUCGGAGUCAUAGUUUAGAGUUUAUCCUAAAAUAUUUUGUUGUAUGUUGGGUGUAUUGUUUCAUUCAUUAUCGAAUCAUUCAUUAAUGUCUAGUUUCAUAUAAUAGGUGUAUAUGAGAGUAUGUUAAAAGUCUCAUAUGACUAGAUAUAAGAUCAAAUCAUAAUAUAAUGUAUACCGUAUAAGUUGAUUUUGUAAGAUUGAGUUAAAGUUAAAGUAUAUCUCAUAACAAGUAUUUUAAUGAGUUGUGAAUAGUAUUGAAUGCACUUGAACCUUUUAAUUUAGGGUUUAUCAAUCUUUAUUAGAAUUGUAUUCUGCCCGCAAAUCUUAAACUGCAGAGAAUAGAUUACGCCAGGAAGAUUAAUAACACAGACUUCACAGAUCAUGAAACAAUGAGAAAUUUUUAGCAACAAAGUUCGAGAAUCGAUGUUGAGAAAGAAAAGAAAAACCUUGAGCUUAACGAGAUUAAAUGCAGGGUUGAUGAUCUUUCUGUGC